rnacentral:lncRNA from 1 species
UCCUGUUUAAUUACCUUUCCCCAAUACUUCUUCAAUCUACCUCUAUCUCUCCUAAAUUCAUUCAUGACCAACCUCUUACACCUCCGCACCGGGAUAUCCGUGCAUCUCUUCACCACAUGCACGAACCAUUUCAACCUCGCUUCUCCCAUCUUGACUUCAAUUGAAGUUACUCCCACCUUAUUUCAGAUAUCUCAUUUUUUAUCUUAU